rnacentral:rRNA from 1 species
GACGAACGCUGGCGGCGUGCUUAACACAUGCAAGUCGAACGGAAAGGCCCUGCUUUUGUGGGGUGCUCGAGUGGCGAACGGGUGAGUAACACGUGAGUAACCUGCCCUUGACUUUGGGAUAACUUCAGGAAACUGGGGCUAAUACCGGAUAGGAGCUCCUGCUGCAUGGUGGGGGUUGGAAAGUUUCGGCGGUUGGGGAUGGACUCGCGGCUUAUCAGCUUGUUGGUGGGGUAGUGGCUUACCAAGGCUUUGACGGGUAGCCGGCCUGAGAGGGUGACCGGCGAAAGGGGGAGUGAGAUGCGGCAAGGAGGCGGAGGGGAGGCAGCAGGGGGGGAGAGUGGGCAAUGGGCGGAAGGCGUAUGCAGCAACGGCGCGUGGGGGAGAAGGGCGGUCGUGGUGUAAGCAGAAAUAGCCGGUGACGAAGCGGGAGCGAGGGGAAUGGGUAAAGAAGCAAACGCUAACUAAGUG